GAUGAACGCUGGCGGCGCACAUAAGACAUGCAAGUCGAACGGAAGUCGUUAUAAAAAGGAUUGAAGAUUUAUCUGAUUGAGAUUUUAUAACAAUGGCUUUAGUGGCGGACUGGUGAGUAACGCGUGAGCAACCUGCCUACUAGAGGGGAAUAACAGUGAGAAAUCAUUGCUAAUACCGCAUAUGCCAUGAACAUCACAUGAUGAAAAUGGGAAAAGAGUAAUCUGCUAGUAGAUGGGCUCGCGUCUGAUUAGAUAGUUGGUGGGGCAACGGCCUACCAAGUCGACGAUCAGUAGCCGGACUGAGAGGGUUGAACGGCCACAUUGGGACUGAGAUACGGCCCAGACUCCUACGGGAGGCAGCAGUCGGGAAUAUUGCGCAAUGGAGGAAACUCUGACGCAGUGACGCCGCGUAUAGGAAGAAGGUUUUCGGAUUGUAAACUAUUGUCGUUAGGGAAGAUACAAGACAGUACCUAAGGAGGAAG
rnacentral:rRNA from 1 species